CCGGCACACACUUGCAGCGGGGGGGGGGGGCAGGGCCCACGGGUGCCUGGCCCGGACACCGCUGUGACAUGCCACCAGCAUGGACACAUGUGCUACACGCUAAGAUGCAGAUGUCAGGCACGCGCAGCCCACACACAGCUGACACACGUCGCAGGGACCCUCAUAGACAAGCGCAUCACAUACAAAGGUGGACAGCCAUCAGCAGACGGGGACACGUACACGUCACACACAAAGACGCAGGGACCGCACUGGAAACGCACAGGCAGGCCAGCUUCCAGCACAGAUGCACCCGGCCACGCAGGAACGUCAAAGCAUCACAAAGACCCACACAUGCCCCAGACAAAGUAAAGCCCCAGAUCCACAGACGCACACGCCACAGACAAAGAUCCCCACGGACACCACUGUGACAUGCUGACACUCAUAGUCACAGCCACGCAGACAGUCCCUAGACAAAUGGGCAACAAAGAAUACCCACAGGCACAAGUAUCACAUACAUGCACGUCACACAGACAUGCACAGACAGCAAUUGCACAGACACACGCAGACACACACAUCACAUGAACUAACAUAGACACGGACACAGCAGCUACACAGAGACAGGCACAUCACAUACAUGAGUACACAGAAACAUAAUACAUGCAUGUAUAUGGACACAUAACAUGCAUCACUCACACGGACACAAGCUUCACUCACAUGGAUACACACAGACACACUACAUACACAUGCAUACGGGCACACACAACUCAUACAUACAGGGCUACAUAAAUCACAUGCAAAAAUACACAUAAAUACACCACACACUGAUACAUACAGACACAUAUAACAUGCACAUAUACACAGUCACACAUACAUAAGCACAGACAUAGGCACACAGAUCAAAUACACAGACACACAGAGUUGCACACAUCACAUACCUAAACAGACAUGGACACACACAUCACAAAUACACACACCUUUCACACAAGGUUACAAAGACACAGAACCCCACCACAGUCACACAUCACAUACAUAAACACGCACUGGCACACAUAACACAUACAAAGAGUCACACACCCACAACACAGACAGACACGCGCACAGACACACGGGUCGCAAAUACCCACGUUUCCCGUGCGGUUACGCAGACAUUACACAACCACAGCACUUGCCUCAUACAAAAGAUACAUGAUCAUAGUUUAUUUAAUGUAUUUAUUCUUAUGAGUAUUUAGUCUGUGCCAGGUAUCGUCCGCAGCGUUUUACACGUACAGAAUUACCUCUCAAUCCUCACAACCGCCCUCUGAGACAGGUAUUUUUUAAUCAUGCCCAUUGUACAGAUGAGGCAACUGAGGCACAGCGCGGGGUAGUCACCUGCCCCAAGGCACACAAGCCGGGGAGUGGCAAAGCUGGGACUGGAACCCGGUCCAUCGGGGACAUCGACACAUCAGACAAGGACACACAUACAUCACGUGCCAGGCCGCCGCCGUCUCGGGGUCACAUCCCACCCUCCAGCGCCCCGAGCUGCAGACACACCCGGAAGCGCGGACUCCCACCCUGGGCGCGGACCUCUCCAUCGUCCGUGAGCACCUGCGAGGCGUUCCCCUGGGUGAGGCUGGGCCGGAGCUGCGCACCCAAGACGCAGCCUCAGCAACACUCGGCGCAGGCGACCCAGCCCCCAACCCCAACCCCCAGCAGGGGCCCAGGGCUUUCCACCAAAACGCGCAGCCGUGGCGCACACCGGCCGGGCAGUGCACACUCCCCGCAGAGCGCAGCCGUCCUCAUCGGGGGGCUCAGGGGAAGGGGCUGCCCUCGGGGUGUCUCAUUGGAGAAACUGAGAUCUUGCCACUUCCCCAUUGGGAAGUGAAGACUAUGGGA
rnacentral:lncRNA from 1 species